rnacentral:lncRNA from 1 species
GGAGAAUAAUUGCGGACAGAAAAUUUAAGGGCAUAGUUUGGGGACUAUGCGGAUCAGCGCCACCUGGCCAAUCCAAUAGCCAUGGAUGAAAAAAUAAAAAAUUUUGUAUUUUUGGAAAGAGAGAAAAAGCAACUGAGAUUCGUGACUGUCGAAUCAGCCACGUUGUGCCGAUCUGUAUAGUCCCAAACUAAUUAGUUUGUAAACUAUACCUAUAAAAUUUGUCUUAUAAUUACGGGUAAAAAUUGUAUGGGCAUCCUCUCCGAAUUAAGGGAUGCAGAUGGGUGCCGCGUGGCCCGCGUGCACCCAUCUUCACCCUUCUCUCCCCUUCGCCAACUUCUCUCUCUCUCUCUCAAAAACGGAGCGUGCAAAAAAAUUAUUUUUUUUUUUUGAGUUUUCGAGGGUCGUCCGCGCGCCCAUCGGCAUCGUCCCCAAACAACUUGUUUGGGGACGAUGCCCAGAAAAUUUUUGCCCAUUAAUUACUAGGUCCCAGUUAGUCAGGGGGUAAUAAAUAUUGAGAAAACUUUUAAAUUCUUUAGGUAGUUUAUUAUUGCAAAAUAAUCGAAAACAAAAGUAAAAUUAUAUUAGUUUGUAGUACUGUUAUUUUCAAAAAUAAUUUAAAUUAUAUUUGAUUAACUAUAUAGAACAACAAAAAAGCAGUAAAAAAAUAAUAGUUAAAUUUCAUAUAAAUAUAAUUUAAUAAAAAUAUCAAAUUAAUUUUUUAUAAUAUUUAAGUAUGAUUUAUUAUAAUAUAUAAAUAUAAAUAAUAUGUUUUAGUACAGUACAAUUAAUAAUUUUAUAGAAAAAUAAUUUAAUAUAAUACAAAAAAUGUUAUAUCUGUAUAAUUUAGUUUUUAAUUCAAUCUAAUAUUAAUAAAGCUUGAAAUUAAAUUUUGAAGUAGCAUUUUUUUCACCAAAUUGUGAAAUAGAUUAUCUCAAUUAUUCUGAGAUAAUCGAGAAUGGCAAAGUUUGACCGAAAUAAAAAUAUUCCGACCAAAAAUCAUUCCAUUUGGCAAAAAAUCCGAAAUAAUUUUAGUUAUUUCCACUUGUUUUUGAACCAAAUGAGAUUUUAGAGUUUACAAAAGUACAAAUGAGUUUCAACAUAAAAAAAAAAAAGUUGGUAAGAUUAGAGAAAGAAGUAGAAUCUUUGGAUAGAUAGAUUGUACAUCUCACACCUUGGUGUGUUUGUCUUUUCGAAAGUAAAUAAAAGUAAUUUUGGUCCGUAAAUGCGCACUUUUGUUGUUUAGUUCACUAUAACUUUACUUUUCAGUUAAAAUUCAAACUUUCUAAAAUAACAUAUUGACGUCAACUCACCUGUGUGAAAAAAAUAUAAAACAAUAAUAAAUAUUAAUUCAUCUCUUAUAUUUGUGAUUUUAUGUCAAUUAUUUUUUACUAAAUAAAUCGUAGAAUCGUGAAAACUUGAGUUUCACAACUAUACGAAAUAAACUGUGAAGAAAGUUAGUUUUUACUAGUACUCUAGUUUACUUGGAAAUCUAUUUCAAUCCAAACAUUCUCUUUAAUAUGACAAACUAAUUAUAUUGCUCAAUAUAUAAUGCGAAGAUGCUGAAUAGAUCUCUCUCCUCUUAGAAUGCACAAAUUUUUUAAAUAUUUUCGUAUUAAAAAAAUAAAGACCAAGGCCUUGUUUGAUGUUGUGUUUAUUUUUUAUUUACAAUUUUUUUUAUAUAUAUAAAUAGGUAUAAGAAUGGAUAGUAAAUUGCUUACAAUUCUUUCGUUCAAAUUAUUUAUUUGAUAACAAAAAUAAAAUAUUAAAAAUAUUUUUUUGCUUUAAUUUUUUAAAAAAUUAAUUGCUUAGCAGAAUAUAUUCUAAGCUAAUCAAUGAUAAUAUAAAAAAAAUUAUUCAUCCAACACAUCAAAUUAUACAGAAUUAAUAUUUAAAUAAAAAAGAAAUGAUUCAUCCAACGGGCGUAAUUCUCUGUAAUUUCGUGCGCAAAAAUUUUUCUGCACGGAAACAAAUUUUUACCGUUCAUUAAAGGCAGGAUUAAUGGGAACGCCACGUGGACGGUGAGGAUUAAUCUGGGCCGUUGUAUUGGACUCGGAUCCUAACGAUCGAUUCGAAAGUCGAACCGAACCCGCGAAAUUCGAAAACCCGCUACCCGUUCCCUCUCCAUUUCCCGCGCGAUGUUUUAUCCUCCUCUACCUCAAACGCUCAAAACAACGGCGCCACCAACCUUCAUCGUCCCCAACAAUGGCGACCUCCUCCUCCGCCGAGGACGUCUCCUCCCUCCUCUCCCUCCUCUCCUCCUCCCCCUCCCCCUCCCCAUCCCUCCUCCGCUCCCUCCUCCGCUCCCCGCGCCUCCUCCCCCUCCUCCCCAACCUCGACCCCUCCCUCCUCCUCUCCCUCCUCGACCUCCUCGCCUCCGACCUCGCCUCCGCCGACGCCGCCCUCGCCCUAGACCUCCUCCCGCCGCUCCUCGCCCUAUCGAUCGACGCCUCGGGGGCGGCAAUCGCCCCUCCGAUCCUCGAUCGGAUCCUCGCCGCCGAUUGGUCCAAGGCGCUGCUGGUGAAGAUCGCCUCGAUCCUCCGCGACCUCCCACCGAAAAUUAGGGUUUUCGUCCCCGAAUUCGUCGAGAAGGUCUUCGCGGGAAUGAUGGGGGUCGAUCUCCAGGAUCUGCCGUCGCUUGUGUACCAGCUACUGCUUUUGGUUUCUAAGGGAAUCUGCAAAAGGAUGGUGAUUGCGGGAUUGUUGGGUUUCUUCGGGGAAACCCUAAAGGGGCUGCCUUCGAUCGUGAGGCAGGUGGAAGGCACAGUUUUGAUGCACUUCAGCUUUGCCGUGAAGCAGGACCCUUCGCUAGGGCAGGAGAUCGUCGCCACCGUUCGAUCUAAUCAAGGCGCUGUCAAUCACUUUGCCGUCGCCGUCCUGCUGUCUGCCGCGAGGGUUCGGCGGUUCAACGAGAGUGCGAUUGGAGUUCUCCGAACGGUGGUGGUAUCUUCUUACAGGGAUUAUAAGCUCUCUAGGUGUUACUUCGCAAUCAUUUUGAGAGAUUUUCUUCAUUAACUUUCUCUGUAUUUGAUCUGAUUGUUAUGGUAAAUGAGCUAAAGUGUCGAAUUUGUAGGGACUCCAAGUGGUUGCCUGAUUGCCUGAAAGAAGAAUGCCUUGAAACGGCCAAAUGUGUGGAGAAAGCCUUCAUAAAAGCUGUGAGGAGUUUUCAAUCUUAAGAAUAUUUGCACUCAAUUUGGUGGAAUUUAAGUCUAAAUUGGUAAUAUAUUUUAGAUUAAUGAGAGCAACUGUGGGAGGGAGCAUCUAGUACCUAGCAUUGUUCAGUUAUCCUUUCUUCUACUUGAGUCUGUCGACAGCGACAAUAGAGAAGAAGAUGGUGUAUCUUCAUCUGGAGGCUUGUUGGGAAUUGGGGAGCUUGGUAUUCAAAUGCUAAAGAUGCUAUUUGAGGUCCACGACAUGGCGAGAGCUGAGGUUUGAUCUUUUUUCUUUUUUUUUUUUUGGUGCAUUAGUUAUCUCAGAUAAAUGAACUAGUUAUAUUUGUAUGUUUCUCGUGGUAGGUAAUAUUUGAUUUUUUUUUUGGAUUGGCUUUUAGCUAAAUUGCUUUAUUCCUAAAUGAAAAAAUGAAUUGCAUUUGAGUUUCUUUACUUAAAGAUUUGUAUCUUUUUGCAUUUGAGUUUCUUUACUUAAAGAUUUGUAUCUUUUUCUGUCCUCGGUCUUCAGAUAAUUGAGCAGUGCAAAUUCAGGAUUCUUUCAUUGAAACCUCAGCGAAGCACGCCAGUUAUCAGGUAACACAGAAACACGAUUGCACAAACUAUAAUAUCUUUCCGACUAGUUUGUGGUAUGGUAUUGACUAAUACUCUCCAUUAUAAUUCAUUUUGAAAGGUUGCUCAGUUGUUUAGUUCAAAGCUAUCCUUACCCAAUGCUAGAUCAUGUUGCACACCUAAAGGAGUUGUUGGACUACUUCACUUUCAUGCAUGAAAAAACUGCUACUGACCUUAUCAAUGGCAUCUUGCCUCUUGUCAAAUUCAGCCAUGACUUGCAGGUAUUGGCUCCUGUAUUGUACUUUGUGCCCGAUGUCCCUAGCUAUGACAGCAGCUUCUCUACUCUGAAAAAUAGUAGAAUUGUGUUUGGCAAACAAAAAUCUGGAGCCUUUACUGUGUUGGGCGAUUAAAUAAGCUUAUGAGCCAAAAAGUAGAAGUUUCAAUUCGUAACUUUUGCUCCGGUUGCAGCUGCUUGGGGACUUCAAAUGAAAACGCUGUUAGUAUUUUUCCCAACAGCUAUACCCAAAUAGUGCUUUUGCAAAAGCUCCUGUGCCAAACAAGCCCUUUCUGUAUGAAUUCAAGCAGAUAGAAUUGCUACUGUAGUUUUAAGUUCAGUGAGCUCUGCAGGAUUACAUAAUUUUGGUUGUAAGAAAGGCCAUGUUUAAGAGAGAGGAUACUGUUCGAAUUGCUGCUGCAAAUGCUAUUGUUGAUCUGAUUGUAAUGGAAAGUAAGUUCAAGAAAAGUGGUCCCCUGCAAGAGUCAUCCAGCCAAGCAAGUUGCAGCCAGCAAGCUGAGAUAACCUUCAAGUCAGGGAGAGAGCUUUUUCAAGACCUCAGUGGAUUGCUUCGGAGGUGUCUAUCGCAGCAGGUUUGAUAUUUAGGCUAAUAACUGUCUGCCCUUUCAAACUACUACUCUUUUUCGCUUGGCCAUUUUGUAGGCAUUCUGUUCGAGGAUUUGGCAGCUUUGACGCAGUGAUUUUCCGCCUUUCCCUUUCUGCAAUUUUGGACUAAAAUAUUCUUCAGAUGACCAAAGCUGGUAAAAAUGGGAAAUUUUGCUCUGCAAAAGAUCCUAUCCCAAAGUCGCUAAAAACGAAAAAUAAUGAAUACAAACAAAAAGUGAAUCAUCUUUACAACAAUCCCUUCUCACUUUGUAACUUUAGCGUGUUCCCUGAUAGGUACCUUGCUUUGACAGGCUACUGUAAAAGAGAUCUUAUAUGAGGGGCUCAUUAAAAUUGUUCUGUACGAUCCUUUAGUCGCUAAUAGUAUCAUCAGUUUUCUGUGGCCUCAUUUCUCACCCUUCUACAAUGAGGUACUUCAUUUUUGUUCUUGUUCAUGCUUUUUUAGGCAAUUGUGUCUCUAAAAUCAUUUUUUUGACCAAUAAUAUUUGUCUUAUAAAACCAAAUAUUAGUAAAAACAGUAGAGUGCUUUUGUUUUUUGCAGGAUGCAGCGUCUCCCCUUAAAAUGGAUGGUUGUUUUAAGGUUGACAAUGACAAGAUUUGCGUUGUUGAACCUCUGGAUUCCCUCCUGUCCUGUGUAUCGUGGAUUCUUCUACUUCAGCAGCAAAGCAGAUCAGAUAAUCCAUCUAAUUUUGCUUGGCCAUGCUUCGAUUUUUCUCCUUCACAAAAUCACGAGGUUUUUUUUUUUGUGUAUUUCCUUCUUGCGCACUAACUGAAGUUAAAAGACUUAAUUCUUUCUUUUAUACUUCUUACUCAUUCCAAAUGCAGGUUGGGAGAGUAUCAUGCAGUGAAUCAUUCUCAAAAGCAUUAUCCAAGAUCCGUAAAUUCUUGAGAAAAUGCACUAGUGAAGGUGUGUAUUCCUUUCAACAUUAGUUGAGUAACAACACUCAUUGACUUACUGACUCAAGCUUAAUUAGCUUAAUUACUAUGUAAUUAAGGCCUGCAUUGCUUGACCAGAGCUUCUGAAAAAACAAUUAGGGGCUGUUUGGUUUGGUGUAAGUGAAGGCGUGGAACUCAAGCUCCAUCACUUCCGGUGUUUAUUUUGUUGUACGUUAAAAAAAAAAUAACGUAACUCAAGUUAGGUUAUACUUCCACUUCACCUACUCUUAACUUUCCUUUCUGGAGUGCCGAACUCAAGUUUUACCACACUCAACUUUCUCUAAAAAAAUUAUUAAAUAUUAAAACCUAAACUCUACUUCUUUUAGAAUGGGUUAGACUUACUUUUUUUUACAAUGGGUUAAAAUUACUUUCAAACAAUAAUGAGGGAUUUUAUUAUUUAAUAGGUUGGAUUUUAUAGGAAUAAAUUUAGUUCUAUAUUUAGGAGGUAACAUAAUCCACUUAUAUCAAAACAAACAAUAAAACUCAAAAAAUUAAUUUCACAAGCAUCAAGUUACACCAAAACAAACAGAAAAAGUGACUGAAUUCAACUUUCAAACUGUACGAGUUACACAAAAACAAACAACAAAAAAAUAAUCAUACUUCAGGAAAACUCAAACACCUCUGCAAUUUAGUUAUGUUGGAUUUAGAGAUUCGUCAAUCCAAAUGCCCCCUUAUUGUGUAGAAUUAUUCAAAGAAGCAAUGAAUUUUUCAUUAAUAUCUUCUCCAUAGUAUCCACUCCAAAAGUAAAAGCUUUAAAUUGGAUCUUUUACUUUUGGACCUAUGAAGCUCAUAUUAGCUUUCCUCUAUUGCAAAAGCACUAGACUACCUGUCUGCUUUUCCAGAAUCUUUUGCUAGAGUAGAGAAGCUUUUCCAGAAUCUUCUGCUAGAGUAAAGAAACUAUUGUAGAAGCCAAGUCAAAAAUGCACAAUAGCUUAAAUUGCUUCACAAUAUGAGUUGAUAACUUACUCGUUGAUCAGAUAAACAACUACAGAGCCAGAAUAACAGCUCGCUUGCCUCAGGAGUGGAGGUUAGACAUUGUCGUCAUCUGGCCUUGCUUGGAAUGAUUGAGGUAUUCAUUUCUAUUGCUGCUUCAGAGCUGGAGAAAGCAACGGAUGAAGCAAAAGUUGCGCUUGUAAAAGAAAUAAUGGAGCUCACUAAUUCGCACAGUUUUCUCGAAAAGGAAUCAAGUAAAAGGAAUAAGAUUGCCCAAAGAAAAGGGCCUUCAAAUGAUGUUUUGAAUAAAAGGAAUACCGAAUCCAAAGAAAAUUCACAUGUUUCAUACCACAGAUUAAAUCAAACAGGGGGGCAUUUCUUUACAACUUCAAGUCUCCAUGAACUUCUAGUCAGUGCAAUCAAUUUGUAUAGUGACUGUUACUCAAAUGAACCUACAGCAUCUCAAAAUCAUAGUCAAUCAUCUUGUUGGAAGAAAAUGGAACAGUGUUUGAUAUUAAUAUCAUUUGCACUGAGGGCUUGUCUCCACCAUUUAAAAUCUGUUGCUACAAUGAGAAGUGGACUAAGUGAUGAUUCUUUUAAGACAUUCUUCUACGGAGAUGUAAAAAAGCUCGGACGACCAAUAAUGCAGCUGGUGUGGCUGCUCAAGUCACUACCGAAGCUUGAGAAGGACUCAAAGAAGAAAGAAGCCAAAGGGAAGAGAAAUGUCGAAAGCAAAGGGACUCAACUCUUUUUAGCAUUAUUGUGUUUAAAAGAGUUAUUUAUGGUAAGUUUAUCAAAGGGCCAAAUUACAGAAGUGAUUGAGGAUCUGCUUACUCUGUCUACCUCAGAGCUGGGUGAAGAAGAUACAUUAAAUGCUGCCGAAGGUAUCAAUCGGCAGGAACAGUUGAUAGUGGAUGAUCAGGACCUAAGAAAUUUGCAUUUGUUUUUGGAUAACAAAAUGAAGCCGUUGUAUUGCCAGCUUCUUAUGUUGUCACUCCCCCGUGAAUCCGAGGUAACUCUUAUUCUCUCUUUUGUGUAAUAAGUUGAAAUGGGUCUUAUGAAUUAUAAUGUGUAAUGUUUUGAUACAAACAUAUAGGGCAGGGGCCCCUAUACCUUCUUUUCAGAAAAAAAAGUAAAGAAUAUUUUCUCCAAUCCUUCUUUCAGUGUUUGAAGUUUGAACUAAUCACUAUAGCAUCAUGAGAGUCUUUCUUGCUAUCAGCGUUAAUGGUCUAUGUUUUUUUCCUCAUAUUCAGCUCUAUGGCCUAAUUGGUGACAACCCUUAGAAUGAGACUGAAAAAAGAACAUAAUGAGUUCUGAAAACAAAACUAGAUGAACAUGCUUUUUUUUUUGUUCUUGUAUAUUUUUCGAAGCAUACAAUUAGUUAUAUCAAUUUUCCCAUUGUACGUGAAAAAUGAAAUAAAAUGUGUGAAGUUUCUCUGGUAAUUUUCUUUUUGAUCUGGCAUCCACUCAUCUAAAUGAGUUAAAGCUCUUCAUAUUUUACAGGUCCUAAGUGAAUUAAUUUCAAACAUUGGAAGAAAGCUGCCACCUAAACAAAGGAAUUCUCAUGGAAUAUGGGCUUCACGUAUCUGUCAGAACAAAGCAGUUGAAAAUCCUAGUGCUGCACGUGGUUUAGUAGCACUUGCCUUUUAUCUUCUACCAAGCCCAAAUGACAUGGUUUUUCUACAAGAAAUAUCUUCUGAGCUACGAAAAGUUAUGGGUUCUGAAGAUAAAGAACCACUAGAGACUUCUGAGACAUUUCCAAUUAUUAAUCAUUCGACAAAGAAUGCACUUUCUACUUUUCUCAUUCAGGUGUUUGAAUCUUCUCUUAUCGAAUUGGAUUGGACUUUACUGAAAAUUAAAGCAAUCCUCACCGUCAGCAAUGAAUCCACUAGCCUUGGUAAGUCGCAACAAUCCGGUGAAAGACCAAACGGGCUAGAGUUGGAGGAAGCACUUUUCACCAGGUCGGAGUUGAUCGUGCAUCUGCUUUCAUCUUUUGCGGAAAUGAACCUUACAGGUAAUUUUCUAAUUAUACAUCUUCUGAGACAGCAUCUUGCUGUUUCAUUCAUCAUCUUAGAAUAUGUUUUUAUGGUAAAAAUGCAGAUUCUCAAGCAGAACAGUUUUUGAAAAUAACCACAAAGUUUUACAAGCAUCUCGCUCGUAUGACAAAGCUUCAGAUUGCUCGAAAAGGAUACAAGCAGUCAUUACCUGGUCGUAAAUUUCAGACACUAGCAGAAGUGACUUGCACAAUGCUUACAGCUCCGCUCUAUAAUUUUGUUGCUCUUGUGCAAAGGGUAUGCUUUUGUCUUCCAUUAGUACAUUAACUUGGUGAUUUGGCCUUUCUGCAAAACAACAAAUGCACUUAUUGUGAAUCUGUGAAAGAGGGACAUGUUUCUUCUUAGCAACUUUAGCUAAAUCACCGCAUGCUUCUCAGCUAAAAGAACUACAGUGAACAUUUUUGAACUACAGUUGCCUAGUUUUGAAAUUGUGCAUUGAUCAUUCAAACUGUACAUCACAGUUCUCUAGUGGAAACUGAAGAGCAGUUUUUCCUGGAAGUUUAGAAGUAGACAAUUUUCGAAAUGGAAAAAAGCGUCACUUUUUUUGGAUUUUACUGAAAGAUCUACAAAAUUUCACUUCUAAUUUCCCUGCUAUGACUCUUCUGUUUUAUCGCAAUGCAGAACCAGCAAGAGAACGGGAGGACUAGAGGAAUCCUUAGCAAGAUCAAAAGGGAGAACAGGUGUAUCCCUGAACUGAUAUUCCACAUUGAAGACUACGAAAAAUAUCUGAUACAACUCAGCAAAAUUACAAAGAUCAACCUGCUGAGGCACGCAAAGCGCAGUAUUUCGAGGGAUUUUAGGAUACUUCAGGCAAAGAAUGUAUCUGUAGAGAAAGAACAGCAAGAAGCUGAGCUAAGCCAGGGCAGUUCUGCGUCAUCCAAGGGCAAGUCUAGUGGAGAUUCCGAAGGCCCAGACGAAGAAAACGCAUGCAAACCGGUUUUUUCGGAUGAACUGCGCGGUAGUAUUGCUGGUGAAGGUUCUGAGAAUGAGAAAGAAGAUGAAGAGGUGUCAGUGAGAAGGAAGAGAGCUAAGAAGAGCAACAUUGUUCAAGAUUCAGAUGAGGAAAGAUAAAAUGUGAAUUUAUUAUAUGCUUGUUUACAGUGUAGGGUGCUUACGCUAUAAGUUUUGAUGGCGAAAAGGAUUAGAUGGUUGUGAUUUUUGGUAAUCUCUGUAGAUCAUGACUGAACGUAUGAUUGCAAAGAAAGAAAUGCAACAAUUAGAAUUUUAUGUAUUGUUUGAAUUACAUAAUGUUACUUUGAAGUUCCUAGGGAAUGUUGGUGGAUGUUUAACCCGAAGCAGUAUCAGAGCUAAUUCUAAACUUUCACCAUUCCGUGAGGCUGUGGAUUUGGUUUCUACCUUCAAUAUUUUAUCUCAAUCUCUAAUAUCAUUUGUCAAUCUCGAGAAACUCAACUGUUGAAAGUAAUGUUUGAACUCACAACCUUAUGGGUGGGAGUUUGGAAUUAGUUUGAUAUCAUAUGAUCCAAAAAAUCAAUCUACUAAAACAAAAAGUAUUAUGUUUGAUAUGUAACAUGAAAAAUGCUUUGGGCCUCUCAAAAGGGUUCUAUAAGUAUUGGGCUUUUUUUUUUUUUGGUCUAGUACAGAUCACUUCGUAAUUUUAUUCUGUUUUAGUAGAAUAAUAUUGUUUAUCAACAGGCGGUAUAACCAAAAAAUGUGUAAAUAAAUAAGGAAAAAAUUGUUUGACUUGCUCUAUCAAAAUAUUUGUAAAUUUUUCGGCCAUCUUAAAUUAUAUUUAAUUUUCAAUUUAAGAAAUGUUUUUUUCUCUCAUAGUUAAUCAAAUAUCUGUACAUUACAUAAAAUUUUAAAAAAUAAUUUUUGAAAAUAUUAUUUUAAUAUAAAAUUACUCUAUUAUGUAAGGAUUUAAGUGCCGUGGCACGAGAUCGUGCCGGAAAGUUGCCGGCAUGGCACAACACGGUACGUGCCGAGCCAUGCCGAUGCGUGCUGGUCAAAAUUUUUUUUGUCUACCGAUACAUAAUAACAUGAAAUAUUUAUUUUUUUUAAGCAAUAAAAUAUUCUAACUAUUUAUUAUGUCUUUUUAUCACAUCUUUUGAAAUUUAUUGAAAAAAUUACUUACUAAUUUAAAGAAUGAAAGCUUUUACGCUAUGUCAUCAGCAGAGAAUCUGUAUCGUGCGGGUAUCUUAUACGCACACUGCGACAUGGUGGAUACGGCCCGGGCCGACAGACAAUUAAAAUUUUGUUCCAAGCCGUUCCCUCCGGUGACGUCACUCCCCUUUUCCUCGAGGACGGUGAGCAUUGCCUUAAAUUCACCGCAGUGAUGUACACAGCAUCACCUCCCUCUCCUCCCCUCAUACUCACCUCUCUCUCUAAAUUCGAAAUUUAGGGCUCCCUAUACCUCUCUCGCAACCUCGAACAGCGAUCACCUCUCGUCUCCUCUCCUCUUCCUAGGGUUCGCGGAGGUGUGGGGGGGGAGAGAGAGAGAGAGAGAGAGAGAGAGAGGGGUUCGUUGAAGGUGCGAUCUCGGAGGGGAGGAGGAGGGGAAUGGCGGAGGAAACCAAGCGAGGCGGAGGCGCGGUGGCGGCGAUCCUCCGGGGAUCCUCCGACGACCGGAAACCGGCGACGGCGACGGCGAUGGCUUCGGCGGCGGCGGCGCCAUUGAAGAUCACCUUGAAGAGCGCCGACAUGAAGGAGGAGAUGCGCCAGGAGGUCUUCGACUGUGCCCGCGCCGUAACGAUCCUCUCUCUCUCUCUCUCUCUCUCUCUCUCUCUCUCCGCUUUAAUCUUGGUUCUUGAUUAGGGUUUAGUUGUGUGUGUUCUAUAAUCGUGUUCUACGAUCUAUUAUAGGCGUUCGGAGUGCAUAAAGUGGAGAAGGACAUUGCGGAGUACAUCAAGAAGGAGUUCGACAAGAACCAUGGCCCAACCUGGCACUGCAUUGUCGGCAGGAACUUUGGUAUUUGCUCUUUUUCUUCUUCUAUUUGAACUCAUUUUAUAAUUUGCUAUUCGAAGAAAUGUGAAUGACUUGGAGGAAAUUAAGGUUAAGGUUCUAUUCUUGCUAGUUCAUGCCCUAGAUCUUUAGAUGCCAUGCCAUGUGAUGUCUCGAAGAAGAUUAAUUCUAGGUAGAUAGAUUGUUGCUAAGCUGGUUAGGUAUCUGUUAAUGGGCAGUAGUUAGGUACUUCACCAGUUUAAAAAAUAUUUUGCUUACCAAAAAUCUGCUGUGCUUACUUGGCACUAUGAUUGUAUGUUUUUUUUUUUGUUUUUUUUUUUUUGUUUUUUUUUUUUUUUUUUAUGAUGGCUGAUUUUUUAACUUGCCAUUUGAUUUUGUUCAUUAAAGAGUCCUGGGUUAGAAUGGGAAGUGAUUAAGGAUUCUUCAAAAAUGUCCUUCAAAGAAAGAUUAUUUAAGAAUGGUAAAUUCCAGGAAUUAUAGAAGUUUUUAAGGGAAUUGGUUAAAUAUAAAAUUGUAUCUUGACGAGGUUAUGAUGUAAGGAAUCACAUCCUGAACAAAUUGGGAUAAGAUUAGGCUUAUUUCCCAAUUCCCACAUCUAACUGAAUUCUGCUCUAUUAAACAAAAGGAAACUCUUCUUUUCUUUUCGUUCCUCUUAAGUCUUAGUUCUUUUUGCUUUUUUCUUUUCUCGGGUAGAAACUGUAGAAUGCUGUUGUAGAAACACAAGAAUUUGCAGUAGAACUUUCACUUUUCUGAAU